rnacentral:rRNA from 1 species
UACGAAGGGGGCUAGCGUUGCUCGGAAUCACUGGGCGUAAAGCGCACGUAGGCGGCUUUUUAAGUCAGGGGUGAAAUCCUGGAGCUCAACUCCAGAACUGCCUUUGAUACUGAGAAGCUUGAGACCGGAAGAGGUUAGUGGAACUGCGAGUGUAGAGGUGAAAUUCGUAGAUAUUCGCAAGAACACCAGUGGCGAAGGCGGCUGACUGGUCCGGAUCUGACGCUGAGGCGCGAAAGCGUGGGGAGCAAACAGG